AUGAACGCUGGCGGCGUGCCUAAUCCAUGCAAGUCGAGCGAACGGACGAGAAGCUUGCUUCUCUGAUGUUAGCGGCGGACGGGUGAGUAACACGUGGAUAACCUACCUAUAAGACUGAGAUAACUUCGGGAAACCGGAGCUAAUACCGGAUAAUAUUUUGAACCGCAUGGUUCAAAAGUGAAAGACGGUCUUGCUGUCACUUAUAGAUGGAUCCGCGCUGCAUUAGCUAGUUGGUAAGGUAACGGCUUACCAAGGCAACGAUGCAUAGCCGACCUGAGAGGGUGAUCGGCCACACUGGAACUGAGACACGGUCCAGACUCCUACGGGAGGCAGCAGUAGGGAAUCUUCCGCAAUGGGCGAAAGCCUGACGGAGCAACGCCGCGUGAGUGAUGAAGGUCUUCGGAUCGUAAAACUCUGUUAUUAGGGAAGAACAUAUGUGUAAGUAACUGUGCACAUCUUGACGGUACCUAAUCAGAAAGCCACGGCUAACUACGUG
rnacentral:rRNA from 1 species